UUUUUUUUUUUUUUUUUUAUAGAAUUCAACGACUUUGAAAUGUGAAUUUGUACAUUUUUGAGUCAAGAUUCGAGAUCAAUUGUAAUGGACUCUUUCGUAUAAUACACUAAUAAAUAAGCUCAAAUAGUACACCUCUUUAUUAGUGCUAAGACCCGGCAAAACUGAGACUGGUCUACAGAUGUACCCACUUUAAGUUUAUUUUAGCUAUUUCUUAGUUGAAAAUUUUUAUGAAAACUACCAUAGCACAAUGUGAUUCAGUAUAUAUUAAAAUAAUAAAGGAAAACAAAUGCCCGACAAGUCAAAUUGGUCAUCACUUUUUUUUUUUUUCCUUGUCAAUUAACAGCAUCUAUGCUAUCCUACUUUAUCGAAGAGGAGGAGACCAACUGAGUUGUAUAAGCGAUUAAAAGGAAGAUAGACCCAUCUAAACUAAAGGGAUAUUUUGAUACUUUUUUUUAUUUGUUUAUUUUUUUUUUUAAUUAUAGGAUGUAAGGUUUGAACUCCUGCCGUGCAGGUCAAAGAAGGAUUUUAAAUCGCUUUUGGAGGCUAAUUUGCAAGUUAUCAUUACGUUUAGAGAGUAGAGACGGUGAAGUCUUUAAUUCUUUAUUCGAGGAUCAUUUGAAGUUUUAGUCUUGCAUAAGUUAUUUUCCUUAGCCUAAUCUCUAGUUUUAGUUUCACACACAUAAUAGUUUUCUUUUGAUUAGGAUUGGUAAACUUUUGACACGUUCGAUGUUGUAAUUAAGUUUAUGGAGUCAUGCUUUUGGGGCCAAACGACGUCUCUCAUUAAAAGUUAGAACUUAGAAGGAUAACAGACCAGUUAGAUUGGAACUGAAAAUUGACAUCAUAAUUAGGGAUAUACAACGUUUUGUCUACCAUAAGCCAGUGUCAAGAUCAACUUUCAUAUCGUGUCUUAAACAACACAUUUGAGAAUUUACAGAUAAGUUUUCAAGCCAGAAAGGAUGUGUAUGUUGAGAAAUCAAGUGAAUAACUAUAUUUAUUAUUUUGUUGUUGAAAGGAAAAAGUUUAGUUGGUGGGAAAGAUUAGUUGUAGGGGUGGCAAUCAGGUCAGAAACGGAUUGACGGGCCGGGUUGAGACUCAUGUACAACAGACAACUCAUUGACCCGAACAUAACCCGUCAACCCGCAACGGAUCAAGAUACCUGAUCUAAAUCCAAAAUUUUCAAGUUGGCGGGUCACCCGAAUGACCCGAAACAUAAUUUCAAUUUACUAAUCUACCACUAUAGUUUUUAACAAAAUUAAUUUUGCACAAAGCUAACUACAUAAUCAAGUAAUAAAAAUCUUGAUAAAACAAUCCCAAAUCAAAUCUGAAAUAAAUUAAAAUACCGUGAAAGUGUUUUAUCCCAAACCAAAUUUAAAAUAAAUUAAGACACUAUAAAAGUAGAAAAUAAUGUAAUGCAUCAUUUGUCCAAACAUAAUAAUUCCAACUUCACACAAGUUAAACAAAUUCAUUUAGGUUUAAGUGGUUAAUGCCUUUGGAAAAAAAAAAAGAAUAACUUAGUUUAGUUAGAUAAAAUAUUUUUAUAUUUAUUGAAUUAUUUUUAAUUCCUAAAUGGGUUAUCAGGUCAACCCUUGGGUGACCUAAAUUCGAUCUAUUUUCUUUUCAGAUUCAUCGGAUUCGACCCGAUUUUGAUCCUAACCCGCGAAGUCUCAACUUGAACCCAUUAAUUUCGUAUUAAAUUCACAUCGUAUUUUCAGAUCCUGUCAAAACUGUCACCCCUAAUUAUUAUUAAGUUCAACAUAAUGUCAUACUGUAUUUUUUUCAAAUCUUUUGUUUUCCUUGGGUUUUUGGACAAAGAUUGUGCUGUUAAUUUAAAAGGACAUCAAUGACCAAAUAAAUUAUUUGACCAAAUAAAUUAUUUUAUGGUGUAGAUAGGGUUUUAAUGUAAUUUGAACCUCAUAAUUUUAAAUUGGGUGGAGCUAAAUCCACAUUCCUCUAGUCUAAAUCUACACCUUUUACACAAAAAUAUCUAUAAAGCCCAUACUAUUUAUCAAGAUUUCAUAGGAAUUUUUCAAUACCAAAGCUAAACUUUUGUGGUGGGAAAAGAUGGCGCCAAUUAAGUUUAUUUUUCCCUCCACUCAAUUGCAUCCUUUCAUCAUCUCUUUUUCCUUACCUUUUGAUAUUCACGAACUAUAGCAGCAAUUAUCAUCAGGUGGAGAACUCCAAACUUUUAGCUCCAUGUGAGUAUGAAAUCAUUGUUGAUCGACAAAUUUCUGCAAGUGCACAAGGUCAAUCAUAGUAAUAAACCACCUAGAGUAUUCUAGGGGUCGAACCCAUAGGGACAAGUUAAUUAUUUACUUUAAUUAUUCUAAAAUAACUAAAUUUAAAUUCAAGGAGUGGUAUUUUCUAACUAAACAAUAAAAUAAUAAUCAAUUGAAAUAAAGUAAUGGUGAGAAAAUAAUAGACACGAGUCUAGAGUUUCAGGUUUUAAUCCAGAAUUUAAGUCAAUUAUCUAGUCAAUUGCUCAAUAAACCAUGAACACAUCACACAUUUGUAUUUUAGAUCAUCUCUCGAUACAUCUAAAGUGUGUCUAAUUAAAUCCUACGUCUCUUUCGAAGUCACAAAUAUUCAAUUAAACGCUUUAAGAACCUUGGUGAUAAAAUGCAUCAUACAAAUUCUAAUCUACUCUUGUAAUUAGGCUAAGUAUGUUUAUCUAUCUAGUAUACGGUUGUAUAUCCCUUCACAAUUCAAUAUAAACCCUAAGAGUAUACCUAUGAUGGCCAAUCACAAACAUGUAAUUAAAUCAAGAUAAAUAAAUCAUAGCAAAAUAUAAGAAUCAAAUUUCUUCAUAAAAACGCUAACCCUGGAAACAAUUUAGUUCAACAUGAUUUGAAAAUUGUAACCACGAAUUCAAAGAGUUGCUACAAAGCUAAGAAAAAGAGUAAGAAACCUUCUUAGUUGCUUGCUCCAAUCUUCUUCUUGUGCACUCCUUGAUUCACUUCCGUUUGAUCUUGAUCUCUCAAUAAUAAACUAUGAAAAGUUGUUAAAACUAACCUAAACUAAUGUUUUCCACCCUAAAAAGAAAAUGACCUAAAGAACCCCUACUUAUAGUUUCUUGAAAAUAUAUUCUAAACAGGGUAGAAAUUAGCUUUAUUGGACUCGAAAAAUUACAUUUCUACACAUUUUUUCGAUGAAGACCAGUCUAAUGUUUGGCGUUGAUCAUUGGGCCAAGAUCAAAACACAAAAGAAUCUUGAGAUGUCCGGUGUGAAGUCUUUUGUGAUGUUCAAUGCUGGUCAUGGAUAUGAUCCGUUCGAGGAUCACAUUUGAAGCCCCAAAACUCUAUCAAAUAGACUGAACCAGUUCUUUCUUAAAACACGAAAUUGUAGCCCUUUGAAUAAGCUUUCUAUCGCCGUAAAAAUCAAGUCAUUUGAAGGUCUGAAUGUUGAGAUAUACCCAAAAUACUGAGACUUGAUCGUAAGAGCAUGGCAGCACAAGUAUACUUUAGUAAUUUGGAUUUAUGACUAUGAAACGUGAGAACUGGACUUUGAUGUCUUAUAAGAUUUUUAGAACAUUCUCUUAGUUUCAAACUAAAUCAAGAAUCAUCUCAAUCCGAUUUGAGUAGCUCAAGUUAUCGCCAAAAUACUGAAAUGUGUCCUUCCAAUGAAACCUCUUUCUCUUGACUUUUUCCUUUUCCAUUGCUUCUUCACUCCAUGUUUUUAGUCCAUUUUCUCUCCAAUUGAGCUUUUCACAUAUUAGAACAAUAUAAGAGCAAAAUUAAGUAGUUUUCACUCAAGAUAAACUAGCAACUUAUUCCUAUUAAUGCACUACAAUUUACACCCGAUCAAUUGCCAUGAUCAUCAUUUGUUUUCUUUUUAUUAUUAAUAGAUAUUUGAAAAUCAAGUAUCACUCUUCAGUCUUGAUUGGAAGUUUUUAAGGAAUUUUAGUCAUUUUAGAGUCUUUGGAUAUUAUGGUUUCUAAUCUUUUAUUUGAUUUGGACAUCAAACAAUCAUACGUUCAGUUGGUUAAAUCAAUAUGGCUAUUGAGAUGAGAAGCUUAUUUUAUGCUGGAAAAAACUGACAUGGAAAUAAUUAUUGUCUGGUAGUGUUAAUCUGUUUACAAACAUAAUUCUAUUGAUUCUCUUAAUAGGUUGAGUGCUUGUAACAAUUGAUCAUUUUUAGACUAGUACACUUGUAAUCUGUUUUAUUCUUAGCGUACAUGUGAAUUAUGGUAUGAAUCACUAACAUUUUAUAGGUAUGAUAGAAAUGAUAGAAUGCAACUCAAUUGGCACUAUAUUUAGUGUAGCUGAUGACUUCUUGUGGAGCUAGAUUUUAGUAUGAUUUGCAAGAACUGGUGUACAAAGACAUUCCUUUCCAUUGAUUAUGUCUAUCCCUAACAUGGCAUUUUUACUCUUCUUUUUAAGGCUCAAAUGCAUUAGCUGCGUACAUCAUGGAAGACAACAGAGGAGAAAUUUUGUUUCAAAUGGCAUUAUGGGACUGUGACGAGUUUUAUUUCAAACAAUAGGGACAUUUAGAUUUCAAUUUUGUAUGGAGAAUCCAUAUUCAUGUGUUUAUUUGGAUAUCCAAUAGAUAGCCUUACAUAUGUUAAUUUCUAAAUUUCUUAACGUUUUUCUUCAUUCCUUUUGUUGGCAUUGGUUGAACAAUGUUAUUAUCUCUCUUAUUACCUAUGAGAAGAUGAGAAAUGUUCUGGAAAAUUUUUGCUGUGCUCUAGUUCAUUAUAGUUGAUAAUGAUUGUUGCUACUAUAAGUCUUCAAUAUUGGAAGGCAAGGAUAGGGGACGAUAAAAGUUGCAGGAAAGAGAGAAAAGAUGAAUUUGAUUGGCUCCAUCUUUUUCUAUCACAAAAGGUUAGUUUUGGUAUUGAAAAAGUUCCUAUGAAAUUCUGAUAAAUAGUGUGGGUUUUAUAGACAUUUUGGUGUAAAGAGUGUAGAUUUUAAAUUGAGUUAAGUCUAAAUUGGUUUCCAAUUUCGUUCUACAAAAUUGUUCUUUUAUGUUUUUAACAAUUCCCAUACAAAUCUUUCUGAGACAAAUUGGGGCAAAUGGAAUCCAAAAAAUUCCUUCUAAAAAUGAAGUAUGCAAUGAAUACAAACUAUGCAAGAUGAAGUAGAUGCCAUUCCCUAUGAAUUUAUUCAGAUUGUAAUAUAAUGCACUUUGGACCAAAUAGCUUGAGGUAUGCCUGGCCUGAUGUAGAUUGCCACAAUGUUGUUUUACACACAAAAAUAAGAAAAUGAAGAUGAUUCAACGUGCCUAGAUAAUGUUUUUUAAGAGAAAGGAUAUUCACAAGAAUAACUUAAAAAUAUAUAAAAUCAAAAGAAGGCCAUGACAAUUGUACAAUGAAAUAAACAACUGUAGAUGUUGUUUGGGAAGCAACUGUGAAAUCAAAAGAAAGUACCUCUGCAUGCAAAUCAUCGCAAAGAAAAAAACUUGAGUGUAGCAACAAAAUGAUGAUUAUUUUCACCAUUGAUGCAUCAAAUAUUUACCAUCUACAUGGCUAUCUAAAUUAACCUCCAUCGUCUUCUUCAUCAAUGAACCAGCCUUUUCUCGAGCUCUACCAGAACCCCUCACGGAAACAUCAGCCAGAACUGUCAAGAAAUCAGGCAAUCUUAAAGCAUCCCUUAUGCAUCCCUCACUUUCAUCAAACAGUCUAAUAAGAAUAUCAGCUGCACCUUCCUUACUCAACAUGCAUCUUCCUUUCAAAACUUCCAGCAUUGAUCCAACAAUCUCAUCAGUCUUUCUCAAAGCACUCAAUCCCUCUUCAAAUCUCGCGAGCAGGCACAAAAUCGCCAGGGAAGUGCCAGCGAGAUCCUCACCAUCUCUAUUCUCUGCGAAUUUGAGUAGCAUUGGAACAGCACCUGACCGUACUGCCACUGUGCAGUUGCCGUGGAACUGCACAAGUUCAGCAAGAGAACUAAGAAGGUGAUGAGAAGCCGGACCAUGUGAUCGUGAAGAAAUUGCGCUUAUUAGAACCUGAAUGGUGCCGGCAACUCCAAACUUUGCCUUGUUUUUGUCCAACAUUGCUAGGCUACAUAAAAAUGAGGCUGCUAAUUUGCUGGAUUCUGCAGAAGCAGGGGCCAGGAUGGCAGAGUUGAGGUAGAUUAUGUUUUCCAUCUCUGCCAAAGAUUGCUUCAGAUUAGGGUUCAGGGAGAGAUUGAACAGGAUGGUCAGAGCCAGAGUUUCAACCGCUGGGGAGGCAGAUUUGGAUAGGGAAAGAAGAAUAGAGACGGCACCAUCUGUUUGUGCCAAUAAAUUCCUGUUUUGAGGAUUGACUUUUGUGAUGCUUGCCAAAGUUUGCAGAGCUUUUAGCUGAUUCUCUCUUGAAUCAGAUCGGAUUUCAUCGAGACAUUCGACAAUGGCUUCGCGGAUACGAAGCGAAGACAUAUUUCUUGAUGAUUCUUGAUCAAUUAAUUCACCAGCACUGAUGGAAAUAUUUGUGAUUACGAUACGCAUGUGCAAACUCCAGGCUUCUCCAGAGGAAGAGCUAAUGGUAAUUUUCUCGUCAUAUUUAAAGACAGUAGUGAUAUUUCCAAUGUUGUGGUACAUAACAUGGCCGCUAAAUUUCCUUGCUAUUUCAGCCCUGGACAUCGUCCAGCUCCACUACGCAUGCCAAUUUGUGUUCUAUCUUUUUGGCAGUUGGGAUAUUUCUUUCCAUAAUCACACAGGUUGAAGAUGAAAUGACCUGCGCACGACAUAUUUCUUGAUGAUUCUUGAUCAAUUAAUUCACCAGCACUGAUGGAAAUAUUUGUGAUUACGAUACGCAUGUGCAAACUCCAGGCUUCUCCAGAGGAAGAGCUAAUGGUAAUUUUCUCGUCAUAUUUAAAGACAGUAGUGAUAUUUCCAAUGUUGUGGUACAUAACAUGGCCGCUAAAUUUCCUUGCUAUUUCAGCCCUGGACAUCGUCCAGCUCCACUACGCAUGCCAAUUUGUGUUCUAUCUUUUUGGCAGUUGGGAUAUUUCUUUCCAUAAUCACACAGGUUGAAGAUGAAAUGACCUGCGCACGACAUAUUUCUUGAUGAUUCUUGAUCAAUUAAUUCACCAGCACUGAUGGAAAUAUUUGUGAUUACGAUACGCAUGUGCAAACUCCAGGCUUCUCCAGAGGAAGAGCUAAUGGUAAUUUUCUCGUCAUAUUUAAAGACAGUAGUGAUAUUUCCAAUGUUGUGGUACAUAACAUGGCCGCUAAAUUUCCUUGCUAUUUCAGCCCUGGACAUCGUCCAGCUCCACUACGCAUGCCAAUUUGUGUUCUAUCUUUUUGGCAGUUGGGAUAUUUCUUUCCAUAAUCACACAGGUUGAAGAUGAAAUGACCUGCGCACAUUUUUGUGUGUGUAGUUUUUUGCCAUCCGUUUGUGUUCUGCAGAUAUUAAAUCCAAAAUCAGCUGAGGCCCAACAGCAUUGUCAAUUAACAAGUAGGAAUCAACAAGUUUCAUUCACGGAUUUGACUUUUAUCCAUUUAAAGAUGAACAUAUAUAUAUAUAUGUUACGUAGUGAAUAUCUCGAAAAACAUGAGGAGUUUGUUUGGAUAAGAAUUUAUUUGGAUGAUUUAUUUGAUCCAGUUACUGUAGCACUUUUUGUGAUGUGAUGUAUGUGAGAUAAAAAGGUGGUUGGGAAUUGUGUGUAUGAUGCAAGCAAAACAAAAUCUGAAAUUUUUAUUCCAAAUUCUUGUUGUCCAAACAAACUCGGGAUCUUUUAACCGAUGCUGCAGACCUACACUAAGACAGGCAAACACUUUGAGCAGACCGUCUUAUGUAGACACACUUGAGCUCUACGCUAAAACAUACAUACUGUUUUCUACUUGCAGGGCAAAUGACGAUCUUCCAAUCAAGACAAGGGACUACGUGAUAUUGUUAAGGUGCUGUAAAAUCUAAACCAUUCAGGUACACAGAUUAAUCAAGGGAAUGAGACCUACGCAGCUGAUUUUCGUAAUCCAAUGUAAAUCCCAGGAUUCUACACCAAAAUGAUUAUAUUCUGAGUCUAUAUCUGCCAUGCAGAUAACUAGACAAACUUGGCUGAUAGAUACAUAUCAGUCCAAAGAACCUCGAGGCUGGUACACAUUAGUAGUUUAAGAUAAUUCAACAAUAAAGUAAAAUGUCUAACCUCGAAAGACAAGCCAAAAUAAAAUGAUAGAUUCAACUCAUCUAAGGACAAUAUAAGCGUUACGACUUAGGUAGUAAAUUAUAUUGCAGUCUAAUUCUCUGCUUCUACCAGGCUGGCAAAAAGAUCGUAAACAUCGCCAAUCCACCAGAAAUUUGUGAUCCUGGAAUAGGAACAAGUAUCCUAGGGAUUACCAAAUAAAGAACGUCUGUAACCCAAAUGACUACAAUAUAACACGCAAAAUAACGCAUUAUUAUUCAUGCAUAUACCUAAAAAAGCACACCACCUAGCA
rnacentral:lncRNA from 1 species